rfam:Anolis carolinensis chromosome 1, whole genome shotgun sequence.
AAUUGGUUUAAUCUCAGCUGGCAACUGUGAGCAGUUUCCAAAUCCUCUCACAGUGGUUUCUGGGAUUAUGCUAAAC